GACGAACGCUGGCGGCGUGCUUAACACAUGCAAGUCGAACGAUGAUGCCCUGGCUUGCUGGGGUGGAUUAGUGGCGAACGGGUGAGUAACACGUGAGUAACCUACCUUUCACUUUGGGAUAAGCCUUGGAAACGGGGUCUAAUACCGGGUAUGACACAUUGUCGCAUGGUGGUGUGUGGAAAGCUUUUGUGGUGGGGGAUGGACUCGCGGCCUAUCAGCUUGAUGGUGAGGUAGUGGCUUACCAUGGCUUUGACGGGUAGCCGGCCUGAGAGGGUGAUCGGCCACACUGGGACUGAGACACGGCCCAGACUCCUACGGGAGGCAGCAGUGGGGAAUAUUGCACAAUGGACGGAAGUCUGAUGCAGCGACGCCGCGUGGGGGAUGACGGCCUUCGGGUUGUAAACUCCUUUCAGCAGGGACGAAGCCUUUUGGGGUGACGGUACCUGCAGAAGAAGCACCGGCUAACUACGUGCCAGCCGCCGCCGUAACAC
rnacentral:rRNA from 1 species